UUUAUGGAGAGUUUGAUCCUGGCUCAGGAUGAACGCUGGCGGCGUGCCUAAUACAUGCAAGUCGAGCGAACAGACGAGGAGCUUGCUCCUCUGACGUUAGCGGCGGACGGGUGAGUAACACGUGGAUAACCUACCUAUAAGACUGGGAUAACUUCGGGAAACCGGAGCUAAUACCGGAUAACAUGUUGAACCGCAUGGUUCAACAGUGAAAGACGGUCUUGCUGUCACUUAUAGAUGGAUCCGCGCCGCAUUAGCUAGUUGGUAAGGUAACGGCUUACCAAGGCAACGAUGCGUAGCCGACCUGAGAGGGUGAUCGGCCACACUGGAACUGAGAGGGUGAUCGGCCACACUGGAACAGAGG
rnacentral:rRNA from 1 species